UGAGACAGGUGCUGCAUGGCUGUCGUCAGCUCGUGUUGUGAAAUGUUGGGUUAAGUCCCGCAACGAGCGCAACCCUUAUCCUUUGUUGCCAGCGGUCCGGCCGGGAACUCAAAGGAGACUGCCAGUGAUAAACUGGAGGAAGGUGGGGAUGACGUCAAGUCAUCAUGGCCCUUACGACCAGGGCUACACACGUGCUACAAUGGCGCAUACAAAGAGAAGCGACCUCGCGAGAGCAAGCGGACCUCAUAAAGUGCGUCGUAGUCCGGAUUGGAGUCUGCAACUCGACUCCAUGAAGUCGGAAUCGCUAGUAAUCGUGGAUCAGAAUGCCACGGUGAAUACGUUCCCGGGCCUUGUACACACCGCCCGUCACACCAUGGGAGUGGGUUGCAAAAGAAGUAGGUAGCUUAACCUUCGGGAGGGCGCUUACCACUUUGUGAUUCAUGACUGGGGUGAAGUCGUAACAAGGUAACCGUAGGGGAACCUGCGGUUGGAUCAC
rnacentral:rRNA from 2 species